UGAGGAAUAUUGGUCAAUGGGCGAGAGCCUGAACCAGCCAAGUCGCGUGAGGGAGUACUGCCCUAUGGGUUGUAAACCUCUUUUGUCGGGGAGCAAAAGCCGGACGUGUCCGUCUGUGAGAGUACCCGAAGAAAAGCAUCGGCUAACUCCGUGCC
rnacentral:rRNA from 1 species